GCUUGUCUCAAAGAUUAAGCCAUGCAUGUCUUAGUGUAAAUAACUCUUAUGAAACUGCGAAUGGCUCAUUAAAUCAGUUAUCAAAUACGUGAUGGUCGCCUACUACAUGGAUAACCGUAGUAAUUCUAGAGCUAAUACAUGCACAAAGGCCCAUUCACGUGGGUUGUGAUUAUUAGAUGGAAACCAAUGCGGGGUAACCCGGAAUAUGGUGAUUCAUAAUAACUUUCGGAUCGAUUUAUCGAUGCAUCAUUCAAGUUUCUGCCCUAUCAGCUUUGGAUGGUAGGGUAUUGGCCUACCAUGGCUUUAACGGGUAACGGAGAAUUAGGGUUCGAUUCCGGAGAGGGAGCCUGAGAAAUGGCUACCACAUCCAAGGAAGGCAGCAGG
rnacentral:rRNA from 1 species